GACCGAGGGUGCAAACGUUGCUCGGAAUUACUGGGCGUAAAGCGCGUGUAGGUGGAUUGGUGUGUCAGAUGUGAAAGCCCUGGGCUCAACCCAGGAACUGCACCUGAAACUACCAGUCUUGAGUGGUGGAGAGGGAAGUGGAAUUCCUGGUGUAGAGGUGAAAUUCGUAGAUAUUCGGAGGAACACCAGUGGCGAAGGCGGCUCACUGGUCCAUUACUGACGCCGAGGUGCGAAAGCGUGGGGAGCAAACAGG
rnacentral:rRNA from 1 species